UAUAAAGCUGCCACACGGUCACAGAGCAAGAAUCAGAUGAGAAAUGCUGCAGAUGAGGAUCUCCCACACACAGGAGACGAUGGCUCAGUUUUCAGUAAGUGUGAUUGUGCGGAUGGUCGUGGCUCUCACAGUCGUCUCAUCUUUGUCAUUUUACAGAAAGUAUGGAAAGGGAACAUCAGUAGUCGCAGGAUAUUCCACUGUUACCAUUGUCUGUAGACUGAAGGUCAAAGUGCAAGCAACCAGCAAAAAACAUUCAAGAGCUCAAUUUUACUACUUCUGAGGCAGGUGUUCCUGCAAAAAUAUUUCUUCAUGGAGGAG